GUUCGUCGUCUGUGUAUGUAUACUGCUCUUAAUUGAUAUAAUUGAAAAACUGUGUGUGUUUUUGAAUUAAGAGCAGUAUACAUACACAGACGACGAACCAGGACU